rnacentral:rRNA from 1 species
GUUAAGUUAACAAGGGCGCAUGGUGAAUGCCUUGGCACUAGGAGCCGAUGAAGGACGGGACUAACACCGAUAUGCUUCGGGGAGCUGUACGUAAGCUAUGAUCCGGAGAUUUCCGAAUGGGGCAACCCAGCAGUUUUAAUCAACUGUUACCACUAGAUGAAUUCAUAGUCUAGUUGGAGGUAAACGCUGUGAACUGAAACAUCUCAUUAGCAGCAGGAAUAUAAAGAAAUUUCGAUUCCCUAAGUAGCGGCGAGCGAACGGGGAACAGCCCAAACCAAAGUGCUUGCACUUUGGGGUUGUAGGACUGAACAUUUGAGUUACCAAAGAACUUGAUAGUCGAAGGAUUUGGGAAAAUCCGCCAUAGAUGGUGAUAGCCCAGUAGAUUAAAUCAAAUUCUCUCAGUUCAGGAUCCUGAGUACGGCGGAACACGUGAAAUUCCGUCGGAAUCCGGGAGGACCAUCUCCCAAGGCUAAAUACUACCUAGUGACCGAUAGUGAACCAGUACCGUGAGGGAAAGGUGAAAAGCACCCCGGGAGGGGAGUGAAAUAGUUCCUGAAACCAUGUGCCUACAAUAAGUCAGAGCGCGUUAAUGCGUGAUGGCGUGCCUUUUGUAGAAUGAACCGGCGAGUUAUGAUCCCGUGCAAGGUUAAGACUAAAAAGUCGGAGCCGUAGCGAAAGCGAGUCUGAAAUGGGCGUUUUGAGUACGAGGUUAUAGACCCGAAACCAGGUGACCUAUCCAUGUCCAGGUUGAAGGUGCGGUAAAACGCACUGGAGGACCGAACCCGUGUAAGUUGAAAAUUGCUGGGAUGAGGUGUGGAUAGCGGUGAAAUUCCAAACGAACUUGGAGAUAGCUGGUUCUCUCCGAAAUAGCUUUAGGGCUAGCCUCGGAAUUAGGAUCAUGGAGGUAGAGCACUAUUUGGACUAGGGGCCCGUCUUGGGUUACUGAAUUCAGAUAAACUCCGAAUGCCAUUGAUUCAUAUCCGGGAGUCAGACGAUGAGUGAUAAGAUCCACCGUCGAAAGGGGAACAGCCCAGACCAUCAGUUAAGGUCCCUAAAUGUAUGCUAAGUGGAAAAGGAUGUGGAGUUGCAUAGACAACUAGGAUGUUGGCUCAGAAGCAGCCACCAUUUAAAGAGUGCGUAAUAGCUCACUAGUCGAGUGAUCCUGCGCCGAAAAUGUACCGGGGCUAAGCAUACUACCGAAACCAUGGAUGCGACCAUUAGGUCGCGUGAUAGGAGAGCGUUCUAAGGGCGGUGAAGCAAGAUCGUGAGGACUUGUGGAGCGCUUAGAAGUGAGAAUGCCGGUAUGAGUAGCGAAAGAUAGGUGAGAAUCCUAUCCACCGAAUGACUAAGGUUUCCUGGGGAAGGCUCGUCCUCCCAGGGUUAGUCGGGACCUAAGUCGAGGCCGAGAGGCGUAGACGAUGGAUAACAGGUUGAGAUUCCUGUACUAGUUAAGUGCGUUUGAGCAAUGGAGGGACGCAGGAGGCUAAGAUGUGCAUUCUGUUGGAUUAGAAUGUCCAAGCAGUAAGUCUUGUGAAGAGUCAAAUGCUUUUCACUUUAAGGACAAGCUGUGAUGGGGAGCGAAAUUUAGUAGCGAAGCGUCUGAUGUCACACUGCCGAGAAAAGCUUCUAGUGAGUACUUAACUACCCGUACCGCAAACCGACACAGGUAGUCGAGGAGAGAAUCCUAAGGUGAGCGAGUGAACUCUCGUUAAGGAACUCGGCAAAAUGACCCCGUAACUUCGGGAGAAGGGGUGCUGAUCGCAAGAUCAGCCGCAGUGAAUAGGCCCAGGCGACUGUUUAUCAAAAACACAGGUCUCUGCAAAAUCGUAAGAUGACGUAUAGGGGCUGACGCCUGCCCGGUGCUGGAAGGUUAAAAGGAUGGGUUAGCUUCGGCGAAGCUCAGAAUUGAAGCCCCAGUAAACGGCGGCCGUAACUAUAACGGUCCUAAGGUAGCGAAAUUCCUUGUCGGGUAAGUUCCGACCCGCACGAAAGGCGUAACGAUCUGGGCACUGUCUCAACGAGAGACUCGGUGAAAUUAUAUUGUCCGUGAAGAUGCGGACUACCCGCGACAGGACGGAAAGACCCCAUGGAGCUUUACUGUAGCUUGAUAUUGAGUGUUUGUACAGCUUGUACAGGAUAGGUAGGAGCCAUAGAAACCGGAACGCUAGUUUCGGUGGAGGCGUUGGUGGGAUACUACCCUCGCUGUAUGACCACUCUAACCCGCACCACUAAUCGUGGUGGGAGACAGUGUCAGGUGGGCAGUUUGACUGGGGCGGUCGCCUCCUAAAAAGUAACGGAGGCGCCCAAAGGUUCCCUCAGAAUGGUUGGAAAUCAUUCGCAGAGUGUAAAGGCACAAGGGAGCUUGACUGCGAGACAGACAGGUCGAGCAGGGACGAAAGUCGGGCUUAGUGAUCCGGUGGUACCGUAUGGAAGGGCCAUCGCUCAACGGAUAAAAGCUACCCUGGGGAUAACAGGCUUAUCUCCCCCAAGAGUCCACAUCGACGGGGAGGUUUGGCACCUCGAUGUCGGCUCAUCGCAUCCUGGGGCUGUAGUCGGUCCCAAGGGUUGGGCUGUUCGCCCAUUAAAGCGGUACGCGAGCUGGGUUCAGAACGUCGUGAGACAGUUCGGUCCCUAUCCGUCGCGGGCGUAGGAAAUUUGAGAGGACCUGUCCUUAGUACGAGAGGACCGGGAUGGACAUACCUCUGGUGUACCAGUUGUGCCGCCAGGCGCAUCGCUGGGUAGCUACGUAUGGAUGUGAUAAACGCUGAAAGCAUCUAAGUGUGAAACACACCUCGAGAUGAGAUUUCCCAUUCCUUUAUGGAAGUAAGACCCCUGAAAGAUGAUCAGGUAGAUAGGUUAGAAGUGGCAGUGCGGUGACGCAUGAAGCGGACUAAUACUAAUCGGUCGAGGACUUAAC